GACGAACGCUGGCGGCGUGCUUAAUACAUGCAAGUCGAACGGAAAGGCUCUAGCUUGCUGGAGUCCUCGAGUGGCGAACGGUUGAGUAACACGUGGGUAAUCUGCCCUGCACUCUGGGAUAAGCCUGGGAAACUUGGUCUAAUACUGGAUAUGACCUCUCUCCAUUUGGGGUUUGGUGGAAAGUUUUUCGGUGUAGGAUGAGCCUGCGGCCUAUCUGCUUGUUGGUGGGGUGAGGGCUUACCAAGGCGACGAGGGGUAGCCGGCCUGAGAGGGUGAUCGGCCACAUUGGGACUGAGAUACGGCCCAGACUCCUACGGGAGGCAGCAGUGGGGAAUAUUGCACGAUGGGCGGAAGCCUGAUGCAGCGACGCCGCGUGGGGGAUGACGGCCUUCGGGUUGUAAACCUCUUUCAGCAGGGACGAAGCGUCAGUGACGGUACCUGCAGAAGAAGCACCGGCUAACUAUGUG
rnacentral:rRNA from 1 species